UGUUUUGCGCAAUCGCGGCAUUCGUUCAACUUUUGUCUAUCGGUAACGACAAAACAGAAAUAAAGAAAGUGAAGCAAAAAGUAAAAUGCGUUGUACACUACGUAGAGAAAAAAAAGAGUGAAACCGUGGUAAUCCAGUGGAAGUUAAUUAUCUUAACGGCGUUGUACCAAUAAUUCGAAACAUAGAGCCAGUAAAUUAAGGACAGUUCCCUGAUUCAACGUAAUGGCUUACUUCCCAUUCGGCUUUGCAACCAGUUUCAUAUGCUAUUUGCGAUGAAAUUGGUUUCAUUGUAAGGUGACAUGAGGCGAUUAGAGUUCUAGCUAUUUGUUUCAGGUUUUAAGUAGUUAUAAUGUGGAUAAAAGUUCGCUGGUUAGAUUGGUAUUUGACGAGUAAGGUUUUCAACCAAAGAAGGUUCACAAGUUCUUCUGAAAAAUUUUUAUUUACUUUUAAGAGUGGUAUUUUGGUUGUCGAUAUUGCGCCGUGUGAGUCAGACAGAUUUUUAAGUUAACCAUACAGAAAAUCAACACCUACUAUCGUUAUCUAUAUUUUCACACUUGAGUUUUUACGCUACAGACGUUUAAUUUUUAAAUCGAUUUUGAUUAAAUAUCAUUAGACUAUUGUCCCGACGAUCUUGGUAUAGUUAUCGUGUCUAACUUAUCUUUGAUCCACGGUUUAUAACUUUGAUAAGAUGGCAUUCUUUAUUCAAUUACGUUUCAUUAUAUGUAUAUAUUUAUAUCAUUAGUUUCCUAAAAAAAGUAACAGUAAUAAGAAAAGUAAAUUUUUCAGGAAACACUAAGUUCACUACUAUUUCGCAACGAAAGUAUUUUUUUCUUUACUACUAAAAAAGGCGUAAGUUAAAUUACUAAUAAAAAGAAAGGUAAUAUUGUCGUUAUUACUGCUAUUAUUUCUGUAACAUAAUUUUAUGGCUAAUUAUGAGGUAAUUAUUUCCCAUCCUAGCAGAUGAUGAUUACUUCUUUACUUAAAUUCUUGCUUAUUUUUGCAAAUAUCUCAGAAAUGAGGAUUCAGCAAAACCAACGGUAUUUCCACAAAUUAAGAGACGACAGGGAUAACAGUCGUUUUAUCGAAUAUUAAAAUAACACGUGGACUUGGUAAGAGAAUUUAUAUUUAAAAGCGAUUACUUAGUGUUAGAUGUGUAAGCGAGGCAGAUUUAUGAUGGCGAUUAAGUAGCACAAAAGAGACAUUUUUUGGUGCAUAUUCAAUGACCAGGCAGUUUACUGUUCGUAAUUAUCGUGUACGACACUUUCACGCGAUGUAGUUGGACAUUAAUUUCAAGAUUGACACUGAGAUAACACGUUACGUCAUGACUUCGCUCAAGGACCGACGUUUGUCAUUGCAGAAAUAGAAGUAAAUUGCGAAUUUACGGGUAUCUGAAAAAAGUAGCCGUGGGUGGAAACGAACACACCACGUGUUUUGCUCUAACAAUCCAUCCCACUCGUUUCAGCAACUAAUUGGCAAUGUAUUUAAAAUAGCCAGAUUUUAAUAUUUUGAUGUCUGUAAAUAUUAAAUAAUGGAACUUCAUUAAUCGCGAUACAGUUCGAUAUUCUAAUUUUUAUUUCAAGUGUUUACGAUAAGUUUUCGAUAUUUGCCUAGAUUAUCCGUUACGCCGAUUAAUCAGUACUUAUUAUAAUUAUCUGUUAGAUGCGCGAUCUUUGCAUGUAGAAUAUUAAAUACUUCAACAGUUGAUGGCAUCGUCGAGGAUAAAUCUUGAAGUACUCCUCGAUGUACUCCUUCUUGUAUGUGUUCCAUAUAUUUUAAGUAAGUUAAUCUUUCAAGCGAAAUUUGUCUUUCGAAUCGGUAGUUUUAUCCAACAAGUUUUAAAAAGCUCGACUUAACGAUAGAUCUUAUAACGCAUUGUAAAAACAUCGGUAAGUGUCCCAGAAUCUUUUAAAAAAAGUUUAUGAAGUUUUUUUCUAUAGGAAAAGAGACUCUCACGUCAUAACAGGCACGUUUCUGUCCUAAAAACGUUCAUGUUAUGAAGACAUCGAUGGAAUACUAACGCUGGACAUUAUUAAACGAUUCCUCUACAAUGACAAACAAAUUUCCAGGACGUUCUUAUUUUUCCCGUCUUCUGUGAAACAAAUAAAAAUCCACGAGGAGAACGCUGCAUAACGUUGGUAUAAUAUAGAAGUGUCUCCGGAUACAAAGUUAUCAGGACGACGAAGAAGAAAACGAGUUAACUGGUGUUAGUCGGUUGAAAGGUCAACGGAUGAUUAAAAUUCCCGAAGGGUAAUUCGGUGAUAAUCUUGAGAGACUGAUAUCAUCCAGUGGCGGUUCGAUUUCUUCCUCGAGCAACGUCACUCCUACGUUCUUAUUAUUUUAUUUAUUUAAACUCAUAUUCACCUCUGGGCGACUGUUAUAAUAUACAGAUAUAUUACAUAGACUUGUACAAUACUAUAUUAGACCAGUCUGUUAUUAAGUAAUUACCGACAUUGCAUGUUAUAACAAAUGUUAUGUCCAUUAUACAAUAUUUACAUUGUAUGAUGGGCAUAUUAUGUAUAACAGAUGUCAAUUACGGUGUAUGCUGUUGUUGCCUCACUGCAGCCACGUUAGUUGGACAAGGAUUACGUCGCUUAGGAAUUUCUAGAGAUGUUUCACCACUCCCAUCUUGUCAUGCUGCUGCUUUUUCGGGAGACAACCGUGUGAUGAGCUGCACUUUUGCGUCAACGUCCGAUGAACAUUGCAGUUUACUUCUCGACGACAGACCUGAAUGUUUGGGGAACGUUGGCGUGAAAGUGCAGCCUACCACACGGUUGUCUCCUGAAAAUUCAAAAUCCGUGACAAAACGAAAGUAGCGAAUCGCCAAUCAUCGUCAAAGUUUAAAGUUAAUCGAAAUCUAAAAUUCACUUCCUUCUAAUUUACGCUCGAUUUAACCAGUUACCUGUUUCUGACGAAUAUACUCGUCAGGAAGAAACGACAGUAAUUUGCGUUAUCACGAGCCUUGUCAGUAACAAAAUUAAAAAAUAAAACAAUCAUUUCGUUACAACUUAAUUCUCCAUUAUGACAGCCACCCAUACUCUGUGUUUGACGAGUAUACUCGUCAUCGUUUACCUUUUGCCACGCAUUUCAGGUGCACACUUUGCAAAGAGAUCGCAACAGCUAACUGGUUAAAAGACGUUUGGAACGCUAUAUCCUCUAUAUUCGUUUCGAUACUUUUGCAAAUCGAUAAUUACGUGCUUCACAGUCUUCUUGCACGUUAUAGACGGACAUGGUCUAUGGUCUUCUGGCUGGUUUCUUUUUACUCGUCUGUUUUUUUUCUUUUUUUUUUCGUGAGGCCUAACGGACGUUGGGAUCGACGAGGCCGCUCGCCUCUGGCCUGGCGUGGCCUCCAACCGAGUACCGCUCUUUUGGCAACCGGCCAGAGCUUAUGCCAGGUUUCAACAUACCGGUCGACAUGGAUAUUUUCGGGUUUGCGGUGAAACGACAAGCUCUGCCUUCUCUUUCUUUGCUUCGAUGACCUCGUCGCGUCGUGAAACACCAUCCCUGAUGUCUCGUCCCCAUCCCGAUCUUCUGAUUGACUCCAGCCCCUGCACCCUUUUCGCCAGAUAUCAACGUCGAACCGUCCCAUGAACGAUGCCUGCUUCCGUUUUAUCGAUCAGAGCGUGCCAGCCGAACGCCAAGGUCUGCCCCCUUGUGCGUUGAAUCACGUGCAACUUUUCUGAUCCAUUAACGCGUUAAUUGCUGCACCAAAUUUUAUAUAUUUUCCCUAUGGACCGCAAUCAGCCGAUUUUUUAAUAUGCUUCAAGUUAGAAUGUUUUUCGGGACUGGUUUGGUCAUGUGAUGAUGGUUAGAGUAUGAGAUCAUUGUCGUUGUAUAGGAGGAGGAGGCUCCAAAGUAAAAUAUAUUGGUAAUUUAUUGGCAAGUUUAUUGGAUUAUCUUUGGUGAGGGGAAUUGGUUGGUUCUUAGCGGCUGUACUGCGGAUAUUUCUGUAUUUAUGGGGAAUUUUAUGACACGAUAGGCUAGACAUCGUCAUUUCGGUUUGGGAAAGAACAUAUUAAGAACACAUUUGAGGAGACAGUGUUUGGCCAGAUAUACAGAAACGAAAUUCAGCCGCUAACUGUUUCUUUAAAAGUUCGAGAAAUUGUUUGUAAAAUACACACGAUAUACGUACAAGAGUGAAAUUCAGACAUUAUUUCACGCGAAGUGAAAAAGAAAGACAAUAGAGAAUAGUGUAUUUAAAUUGCGUACAUAUGUAACAAUGAAAAUUUUGUUGGACAGUAAUCUGCUUGGAAUUUAAAGAAACUGAAUAUGAUAUACACUUAAAUAUGUGUAUCUGCGUAAAAUGUAUCUGCGGCUUGAUGCAAGAAGUACCAAUGUCAGCAUUUAUAAAGUUGAGAUGUUAGGACUUAAGGAUACGUUAAAGAAUUCACGUUCAAAUAAUCUCUGAUACAGAAGUUUCUGCUGUUUGGAAAUUUUUUUCUAAUACAAAAGGAGAGAAUUUUCUAGUACAGAAGGAUUUUCGUGUAAAAACGAUAAAAGCAAGUGAUUAUUAUAAAUUUUUUUACACCAGAUACUAAUUACACUGUAUCUAAAUCUUUUUAGGAUGUAAAUGUAGCCUUGAA